UACGGAGGGUGCAAGCAUUGACCGGAAUUACUGGGCGUAAAGGGCGCGUAGGCGGUUCAAUAAGUCAGAUGUGAAAUUCCGGGGCUCAACCCCGGAGCUGCAUUUGAAACUAUGGAACUAGAGUUCAGUUAGGGUAAACGGAAUUCCACGAGUAGCGGUGAAAUGCGUAGAUAUGUGGAAGAACACCGGUGGUGAAGACGGUUUACUGGGCUGAGACUGACGCUGAGGCGCGAAAGCAUGGGGAGCAAACAGG
rnacentral:rRNA from 1 species